rnacentral:rRNA from 1 species
GUCAGGGUACUACGAGCAAAGCUUAAAACCCAAAGGACUUGACGGUGCCCCAUAUCCCCCUAGAGGAGCCUGUCCUAUAAUCGAUGAUCCCCGUUUAACCUCACCGCAUCUAGCUUACCAGUCUGUAUACUUCCGUCGCAAGCCUACCACAUGAGCGAUAUUUAGUUAGCCCAAUAUUCACACAAUGUAUUUACAUCAACAAUACGUCAGGUCAAAGUGCAGCAAACGAUGCGGGAUGAGAUUGGCUACACUUUUUAACUUAGAAGAAACGGAAGACAAUAAUGAAACUUUGUCAGAAGGUGGAUUUAGCAGUAAAAGAAAAAUAUAAAAUCUCUUUUAACUCGGCACUGGGGUGUGU